rnacentral:rRNA from 1 species
AUUGAACGCUGGCGGCAGGCCUAACACAUGCAAGUCGAGCGGAUGAAGGGAGCUUGCUCCUGGAUUCAGCGGCGGACGGGUGAGUAAUGCCUAGGAAUCUGCCUGGUAGUGGGGGAUAACGUCCGGAAACGGGCGCUAAUACCGCAUACGUCCUGAGGGAGAAAGUGGGGGAUCUUCGGACCUCACGCUAUCAGAUGAGCCUAGGUCGGAUUAGCUAGUUGGUGGGGUAAAGGCCUACCAAGGCGACGAUCCGUAACUGGUCUGAGAGGAUGAUCAGUCACACUGGAACUGAGACACGGUCCAGACUCCUACGGGAGGCAGCAGUGGGGAAUAUUGGACAAUGGGCGAGAGCCUGAUCCAGCCAUGCCGCGUGUGUGAAGAAGGUCUUCGGUUUGUAAAGCACUUUAAGUUGGGAGGAAGGGCAGUAAGUUAAUACCUUGCUGUUUUGACGUUACCAACAGAAUAAGCACCGGCUAACUUCGUG